rnacentral:rRNA from 1 species
UAAGCAUAUCAAUAAGCGGAGGAAAAGAAACCAACUGGGAUUGCCCUAGUAACGGCGAGUGAAGCGGCAACAGCUCAAAUUUGAAAUCUGGCUCUCUUUGCGGAGUCCGAGUUGUAAUUUGUAGAGGUGACUUUGGCUUUGGUUGCGGUCUAAGUUCCUUGGAACAGGACAUCACAGAGGGUGAGAAUCCCGUAUGUGGUCGCAGUCCAUCGCCGUGUAAAGUCCCUUCGACGAGUCGAGUUGUUUGGGAAUGCAGCUCUAAAUGGGAGGUAAAUUUCUUCUAAAGCUAAAUACUGGCCAGAGACCGAUAGCGCACAAGUAGAGUGAUCGAAAGAUGAAAAGCACUUUGGAAAGAGAGUCAAAAAGCACGUGAAAUUGUUGAAAGGGAAGCGCUUGCAGCCAGACUUGCCCGUCGUUGCUCAUCUAGGCUUAUUUUUGCCUGGUGCAUUCUUCGGCGGGCAGGCCAGCAUCAGUUUGGGCGGCCGGAUAAAGACCUCUGUCAUGUAUCUUCCUUCGGGAAGACCUUAUAGGGGAGGUGUAACACGGCCAGUCUGGACUGAGGUUCGCGCAUCUGCUAGGAUGCUGGCGUAAUGGCUGUAAGCGGCCCGUCUUGAAACACGGACCAAGGAGUCUAACAUCUAUGCGAGUGUUUGGGUGUCAAGCCCGGGCGCGCAAUGAAAGUGAACGGAGGUGGGAACCCUCGGGUGCACCAUCGACCGAUCCUGAUGUCUUCGGAUGGAUUUGAGUAAGAGCAUAGCUGUUGGGACCCGAAAGAUGGUGAACUAUGCUUGAAUAGGGUGAAGCCAGAGGAAACUCUGGUGGAGGCUCGCAGCGGUUCUGACGUGCAAAUCGAUCGUCAAAUUUGGGCAUAGGGGCGAAAGACUAAUCGAACUAUCUAGUAGCUGGUUCCUGCCGAA